AGCGAACGCUGGCGGAAUGCUUAACACAUGCAAGUCGCACGGGGGCUUCGGCCUUAGUGGCGGACGGGUGAGUAACGCGUAGGAACGUGUCCUGGACUGGGGGAUAACGCUGGGAAACCGGCGCUAAUACCGCAUAUCUCCUGAGGGAGAAAGCCGCGAGGCGGUUUGGGAGCGGCCUGCGUCCGAUUAGCUUGUUGGUUAGGUAAUGGCUGACCAAGGCGAUGAUCGGUAGCUGGUCUGAGAGGAUGAUCAGCCACACUGGGACUGAGACACGGCCCAGACUCCUACGGGAGGCAGCAGUGGGGAAUAUUGGACAAUGGGCGCAAGCCUGAUCCAGCAAUUCCGCGUGGGUGAAGAAGGUCUUCGGAUUGUAAAGCCCUUUCGGCGGGGACGAUGAUGUCGGUACCCGCAGAAGAAGCCCCGGCUAACUUCGUGCCAGCCGCCGCGGUAAAAC
rnacentral:rRNA from 1 species